rnacentral:misc_RNA from 1 species
UACGUAGGGGGCAAGCGUUAUCCGGAAUAAUUGGGCGUAAAGGGCGCGUAGGCGGUUAUAAAAGUCAGAUGUGAAAGACUGGGGCUCAACCCCAGGGGUGCAUUUGAAACUGUAUGACUUGAGAGCAGGAGAGGGCAGUGGAAUUCCCGGUGUAGCGGUGGAAUGCGUAGAUAUCGGGAGGAACACCAGUGGCGAAGGCGACUGCCUGGCCUGGGACUGACGCUGAGGCGCGAAAGCGUGGGGAGCAAACAGG